rnacentral:lncRNA from 1 species
CCCUUUUCCCCAGGACUUCUUGACUACAUCACUCAGCCAGGGAAGUUCCUGUAUUUCCACCUCAGUUUGCUGAACCAUGGUAAACCCAAGCUUCAAGGAGUCAUCCCAGCAAACUGUUAGGACCGAUGUCCUUGCCAGACAUGAAAUUCUAUCUUAUGGUGUUCAUGAUAGCAAAGUCCUCCGUAUUAGUUUGCUAAGGCUUUACUCACAAAGUACCACAGACGAGGCAGCUUUAACAACAGAAACAACAUGAUUUACUGCCUUACCACAGAUCCCAAAGCAAUGGGGACAACGGACCAUGGACUGAAACUUCCCAGACUGUAAGUUAAAACAAACUUUUCCCCCUUUAAAGUUUAUUAUCUUAGGUAUUUUGUUAUAGUAAUGGAAAGCAGAUUAACCCAGGGCAGUUUGUAAACAACUUGCUAAAAUGAACAUCAUGUGAGUUGGAUUUUUCAAGAUUAUAUAUAUAUAUAUAUAAUCUCCAGAACGAAAGACCAGAGGACCUGAAACUGAGGCCCAUGAGAAGGAGACAGGGC